rnacentral:rRNA from 1 species
AUUGAACGCUGGCGGCAUGCCUUACACAUGCAAGUCGAACGGUAACAGGUCUUCGGAUGCUGACGAGUGGCGAACGGGAGUAAUACAUCGGAACGUGCCUCGUAGUGGGGGAUAACUACUCGAAAGAGUGGCUAAUACCGCAUGAGAUCUACGGAUGAAAGCAGGGGAUCGCAAGACCUUGUGCUACUAGAGCGGCCGAUGGCAGAUUAGGUAGUUGGUGGGAUAAAAGCUUACCAAGCCGACGAUCUGUAGCUGGUCUGAGAGGACGAUCAGCCACACUGGGACUGAGACACGGCCCAGACUCCUACGGGAGGCAGCAGUGGGGAAUUUUGGACAAUGGGCGAAAGCCUGAUCCAGCAAUGCCGCGUGCAGGAUGAAGGCCUUCGGGUUGUAAACUGCUUUUGUACGGAACGAAAAGCCCUGGGUUAAUACCCUGGGGUCAUGACGGUACCGUAAGAAUAAGCACCGGCUAACUACGUGCCAGCAGCCGCCGUAAAAC